ACCUGGCUGGCUCAGUUGGUAGAGCAUGCGACUCUUGAUCUUGGGAUCAUGGGUUCAAGCCCCAUGUUGGGUG